UUGGGUGACCGGAAGCAGGGAGGGGAAGAUGGCGGAGUGAAGGGGAAGAAGUGGAGCGAGAGCUGCUGCGGGCUGCGGCCCCAGCCGGGGUCUGUGCCCCUCCAGGCCCAAGCAUAUAUCAUAGUAGUUGGAAGUCAAAAUUUGCAUUAACCGAAAGCUACAGGCAAAAAUGAUAAAAUGAUCAGUGCAGCAUGAAAUGAAAGAGAAAUUGUAAUGGAAUUGGAAGCAAACAAAUGUCCCUAUCAUCCAAAAGGGAGGAGAAGUCAAGAAUGAUCCAUCACUAAAGAUAAAAUCUUCUUCAAGGUCUUUUCCUUUUGACCCAGGAGAUUCUGUUUCUUAAAGAGUUGUUAUUCCUGAAUGCCCAUCUUGAGAAGAAAACUCUAUUUCUCUAAAUGGAAAUGAAGACAUGUUGCUUUGAUUCUUUUACAUCUCCUCAUCAUAAAAAAUUACCACAUGAAGCAGAAUUAUACGGGAUGAAAGUACAAUCCUUGCAAAGCAACUAAAAUGAAUAUAUGGACUCUCAUGUAAACCAGGCCUUUGCUUAUGGGUUUUGCCCUUUAAACAUGAUUGUGCAUUACAAUAUGAGUAAUUGUCAAUUCUUGUUAACACUUUGAUUCAUUCAGUAUACUUUAGUAAAACAAUUCACCACAAAAUCUUUGGAGAACUUAACAAAUUGGUAUGUUCUUGAAACAAUGUCUCAUAAAUCUUGAUGAAAAAAUGUGGCAGAAGGACCAUGAAUGUACAUGUGUUACAAAAGAAAAAAGAGAAAUAGUUUGAAAGAUUUUCCUUCCUUAAAAGAGCCAGUUUAUAAUUAGAUUUUAAUGGAAUCUUGAUGCAAGUAAAUCUUGAUGCAACUAUGUAAAGUUGCAUCAAUUGAAUUAUGUAUAAUUGAAUUAUAAAGCUGGAAAGUGGGGAUAUUGAUAAUAUGUCCCACAAAAUGAAGGUUGGAGACUUAAAGGUAUAGAAAGUAAGCCUUGGACAGUAGAAUUUCUUGGUAUCCCAUUUCUUCCCUAAGGAAUUCAACAAUAAAAGGAACAAUGACUUAAUUAUCCAGGCUUUUACCUGAAAGAAGGAACAAUGCCAGUAUAACCUUGUAUGUAAAACUCCACUGCAUGAACAAAAAUUAGACAUGCUCAGGAAGGGCUUCUUUAUUAUUUCUUAAUAGGUCACCCAGAGUUAAGGUGGGAAUUGUGUUCUAAACAUGUUUUGCAGAACAUUCUUUGCAUCGUGUUUGUUUCUACUAGACUAUUUCAGGCUGGUUUAAAAGCUGCUUUUUGCCACAAUGGGUGCAAAGGCCUAUGUCUUCUUCCCUUGCUGAGCCAUGGAGCACCUUAUUUCAGUUUUAUUAAAAGGUUAAUGUGGGUUUGCUAAUAGUUUUAACAAUAUCCUCACUCUUAGUUAAAGGAAGUACAUUUGUAACACAAUUGUUAGUCAUAGCUAAGAAUGUUGAAUGCUUUUGGCUGAUCGUUAUUUUUCAAAGUUAAAGUGGCUGCUAGAAGAACAUUUGGGAUGUUUGUAUAUUUUAAAUAGUUUAAUAAGGGGAAUAUGCCGAGCAAAGCAUUUAUAUUUGCUUGUCAUCAUGUUGUGUUUAGCUUAUAUAUGAUAAAAGAGUAAACAUUAUUUUUGCUUUAUUUGAAUAAAAAUGAAGUAGAGGUAGUCCUCAUUUAGCAACCACAGUUGGAACUGGCAUCUUGGUUAUUAAGCAAAGCAGUCAGUCAAUGAAACUGACUUGUUGUUGAGAUCUUAUUUCCGCUUUCCUUUGCUUUACAGACUUGCAAAUAUAAAUGCAAGGAUUAGUUAUAAAGUUACUUUUUCAUCACUAUUGUAACUGGCAUAAUAAGAACUAAAUAAGGACUACCUGUACAAUUGUUUUUUUUUUAAGUGUUACAAUAGAACACUUUCAGAGGGCUUAAAAUCUAUAGCCACAGGACAAAAAUGAAAUAUUUAAUAGUCAAAAGAGUUGUGAAAUUUGGAAAUUUACUCAUACACAAGUUUAAAUUUUAAAAUAAUUUGGAUACCUUUUGGAUUUAUCAGGGCUUCAGAAGUAAAACCUAUCUUAAUGAAGUUGUUCUCUGAAACUCUUACUAAAAAUUAGAAAGCGUGAAUUUAAUCAGUUUUUUUGGAUGUUGCUUUAGCUAUUUAUACCUCAGAGAUUUUUGUGGAGAAGAUAAUACAGUACAUUGGGGGCGGGGGGGGGGAAAUGUAAUUUAGUUUCCCCAAAUAAUUAGAAAACGAUCAUAUUGUUUAAGAAGAAAACCGAUUCUUUAUCUCCUUUCUCACUAAAUGCCACUGUAACAAUGUAUCUAUUUCUAUUGAAUAGGACUGAAUUAAGAGUAAACCUAGCAUUUGAGAAAACAACAACACUGCUCUCUAUGCCCGGGAAAUAAUUUUAGUUUAGUUAUCCAUGUGCAUCUCCUUAACAGUUCUAUUCGCAGGCAAUAUUGCCUCAUUUUUUUUUUAGUUUUACAUACUCAUCUGUUGUCCACCUUGGCAGGAAAUCUUUCACAUCUGAAAGAUGAAGCAAAUAUGGGGCAUGUGCAAUAGUAUAAUAUAUACAUAUAAAUAUAUUUUAAUACUUGUGGACAAAAUGUUACAAGUUGUUUGAGAACAACAAAAUCACCAAUGUCUUCCAUUUUAAAAUGUGUAUAGUUCCAUAAGCAUUAGUGCUUUGUAGCAAAACUGUAGUGCCAUGUUAGGAUCAGUGCAUGAGCCUAGUAGUACUUUUUUACAAUUUCAGAGUGACAAAUUAAUGAAGCUGAUUAUGUAACUUAUAGGAAACUGACAUGGUUAUGGUCAUGGUCUAAAGAUGCAGUGUCCUUUCUAGGCAAUGGUAGAAGAAACUGCUGCAUAGAAUCAGUGAGAUGUGAAUUUCAUAGUGAUUGCAUGAAAAUCUUUAACCAGCCAGGUAUAUUUUGAGUGCACUUAACUGCAUGUAAAAACCCUAAUAGAAGUAAUAAUCUUUAACAAAACCCCUUGUGAAUCAUGGAAUAUUUUGCUAUAAUGAGAAAAAAAAAACUGAUAGUGUAAAUUUUUAAAUUUUAGGGACUAGAAUAAGCAUAUGACUAGUCUUUCCCAUUCAUGCUUUUUUCCAGAAAAAGUUUUGAUAUGUUUUUGAAUCAGAUUUGUUGAUUGUUUUUGUGCUUGCAUUAAGACAGGAAUUGGUAAUCUUUUACAAUGUAAUUGUUGCUUGUAGAAACUGAAUGAUAGAUUGGAGCUUGCACAUAUCUGCCAAUGUGGCAGCUAUUAAUCAAGAGUAGCAUCUUGCAAAAUUGACUAAUCUAGAAACACUGUCACUGUACUGCUAAUUCUGAAUGCAUCUAAGUUAUUAGCAUUGUUUAUUAUUAAAAUAUUCUUUUUGCUUACCUCAUUAUUUUGGUAAAGCAUUUGUUGGAGUUUUCUUACUAAUUAGUCACAUUUAUUUCUUGCAUCCAAAUAUCUAUAUAUUACAGUAAUUAAUCUUAGUAGAUUUCCCCCCUCUUUUCUGAAAUUACACAGUUAGGUAACUCAUCUACUUUAUUUUUGGUUUAAACAAGUCAUGUUUUAAGUUAUGAAUCUAGUUCUUUGUGAUCUUUAUGGUUUAAAUGCUACUUUUAGCUUAAAGGGGAUACUGCAUCUUUUUUUUAAAAAAAACUUCUCUAUAAAUGGCCACCUUGAUGAGAGAAAAGAUGUCUUUGACUUUGUAUUUCUUUAUUGGCAAAACAUAAUAUGAUACUUGUAAUGUAACUGUAAUUCUGUAAAUUGCAGAAUUACAUUUAAAGAACUCUCUAUUUUCUCAUUGAAAGUGGCAAGGUGUGUUGUUUGGAGAUGAAUUGUAAGGACCUUGAGAUCUUUUGGGGCUCUCUUCUGAACAGCAGUAUAAUUGAAUAAAAUGGGGCUGAUGAUUGGGA